rnacentral:rRNA from 1 species
UACGUAGGGGGGCAAGCGUUGUCCGGAUUUAUUGGGCGUAAAGAGCGUGUAGGCGGCCUGGAAGGUCAGCUGUGAAAACUCGAGGCUCAACCUCGAGACGUCGGUUGAAACCACCUGGCUAGAGUCCGGAAGAGGCGAGUGGAAUUCCUGGUGUAGCGGUGAAAUGCGCAGAUAUCAGGAGGAACACCAAUUGCGAAGGCAGCUCGCUGGGACGUUACUGACGCUGAGACGCGAAAGCGUGGGGAGCGAACAGG